rnacentral:lncRNA from 1 species
GAAAAAAACAAUGGCAGAAGACAAGGACUCGGUGUGGAGCAAGUGCUGAGUCAGAUAGGCACAGGAUGCUGGCAAUCAAACCCAGGGCCCUCUGCGCACACUUGGCUACCAAGUUACACAUUUAACCCAGUGAUCAUUUGUGAACCUAGCAAGACACCCUCUAAGCUGUCAGCCCAGUCACUAGAGGCCUGCAAGAUCGGGUCCCAUAUGCAGCAGACCCAUCGGACCUACCCCAAAAUAAUACUCUUCCACAUCUACACAUUA